AUUAAACGCUGGCGGCAUGCCUUACACAUGCAAGUCGAACGGCAGCACGGGGGCAACCCUGGUGGCGAGUGGCGGACGGGUGAGUAAAGCAUCGGAACGUAUCCUGGAGUGGGGGAUAACGUAGCGAAAGUUACGCUAAUACCGCAUAUUCUGUGAGCAGGAAAGCAGGGGAUCGCAAGACCUUGCGCUCUGGGAGCGGCCGAUGUCGGAUUAGCUAGUUGGUGGGGUAAAGGCCUACCAAGGCGACGAUCCGUAGCGGGUCUGAGAGGAUGAUCCGCCACACUGGGACUGAGACACGGCCCAGACUCCUACGGGAGGCAGCAGUGGGGAAUUUUGGACAAUGGGCCGAAGCCUGAUCCAGCCAUGCCGCGUGAGUGAAGAAGG
rnacentral:rRNA from 1 species